ACGAUGAAUAUCAUUCCAUUUUUCUUGAUGCGGCCAAUUGAUGUUCUUCUUUUGUGAAGUGCCUGCUCCAGCCUUUUUAAGAUUUAUCUCUCAAAAUUGGAUCAUUUUUGAAUUCUUACUGUGUAAUAAGCACUAUACCGAACACUUUAAAAAUAUUAAUCUUCAGUCAUCUCUGUGGUUUACAGACCAGGGGAGGAAGGCAGAGUUUAGGAGUCAAAAACUUAAGAUAGAUGCGCAGUGAAGAAGCAAUGGACUUAGUGCUCAACACUAAGCUUUCCUGACCUGCAAAUUCUUUAGUUUCUCAGAGUUUGUUCAGGGGCAGAUUAGGCUGAGGCUAGAGGGAACUCUGAAAGGGAUGCUGCAGGAGCAAAAAUACCGAGAGCGUAAAGCAAAGAAUGGCUGGCCGUGGUUACACACCAAAGGAGUGGCCCUGAAGAUGAGUGUCAUUCAGGGGUGAAGAAGGUAGGGAUGGGAAAUGUUGCGGGUUUCCGUAUCUGUAGGCUAGGCAGAUCCCAUAUCAGCCAUAUAUAUAGAUUUAUAGUCUUAUAAUCUUAGAGUCUUUAUAGAUUUAUAGUUAGAGCCUCUAAUCAUAUAUCUUAUGAUUGUGAUAUUUAAUAAGAAAUUAAUGAAAGCCUGUAGGGUUUUAAAGUUUAAGAUUAAAAAGAGACCACAGUGUUUAUUUAGGCUAAUUCUUUACUUUCUAAAGAAUGUGGUACAAGUUGCUAAUAGAAAGCAGGUGGCUUUUUUGAGAUCACGUAUCACUAAGCAUCAUGUUAAGGAUAGACGCUAGGACUG
rnacentral:lncRNA from 1 species